GAACCAUGAUGAGGACAUUUCCACAGGAGAUCCUUAAACCUAUUCCAUGUCUCAAAAAGAGACUCCAAUUCUAUUCGCACAAAAAAGGAUAUUUCAUUACUAAGUUU